ACUCAAAGGAAUUGACGGGGGCCCGCACAAGCGGUGGAGCAUGUGGUUUAAUUCGAUGCUACGCGAAGAACCUUACCUAGACUUGACAUCCUGUGCUAUCCGGUGAAAGUCGGAGUUCUCUUCGGAGACGCAGUGACAGGUGCUGCAUGGCUGUCGUCAGCUCGUGUUGUGAGAUGUUGGGUUAAGUCCCGCAACGAGCGCAACCCUCGCCCUUAGUUACCAUCAUUAAGUUGGGCACUCUAAGGGGACCGCUUGGCUAUAAGCCAGAGGAAGGUGGGGAUGACGUCAAGUCCUCAUGGCCUUUAUGUCUAGGGCUACACACGUGCUACAAUGGGAGGAACAAAGCGUUGCAAGCCUGCGAAGGCAAGCCAAUCGCAAAAAACCUCUUUCAGUUCGGAUUGGAGUCUGCAACUCGACUCCAUGAAGCUGGAAUCGCUAGUAAUCGUGGAUCAGAAUGCCACGGUGAAUACGUUCCCGGGCCUUGUACACACCGCCCGU
rnacentral:rRNA from 1 species